rnacentral:rRNA from 1 species
AGCAGUAGCCACGGUAAUACGGAGGAUCCAAGCGUUAUCCGGAAUCAUUGGGUUUAAAGGGUCCGUAGGCGGUCUUGUAAGUCAGUGGUGAAAGCCCAUCGCUCAACGGUGGAACGGCCAUUGAUACUGCAGGACUUGAAUUAUUGGGAAGUAACUAGAAUAUGUAGUGUAGCGGUGAAAUGCUUAGAGAUUACAUGGAAUACCAAUUGCGAAGGCAGGUUACUACCAAUUGAUUGACGCUGAUGGACGAAAGCGUGGGUAGCGAACAGGAUUAGAGACCCCCGUAGUCCCUGUCUCUUAUAC